GGAGGCCGGUGAAGCCAGACACGGGCCAGAUGGAAUGGGCAAAGUGUCCUAUCUGUCCCCUUAAUAACUCCUAGGCCAGGGUGACCUGUCACUGUGAGCAAGGUGGAGGGGGGGGGUAGAAAAAUGAGCCAAUUCGUUUCUAAAUGGCUCUGUAACUCCAGGGUGUUAUCGAGCAGAGACAAAGGACACCCCAUAAUUCUUGGGAAGGGAAUCAGGAUCCCCGGGAAGCAGGCACGGACUGUCCAGUCUGCUGAAGUCUCCCGCCACCCUGGGAUCCGUGCUCCAUAAAUACACAGAGAUGGAUCUCCUGGCGCCAUUGAUUUCCCCCUUGCCAUUAUCGAUCGCAUUCUUAGAUGAGUGGAGACUUUUCGACCAGAACUAAGCUCUGUGUAUCUUUUUUGCAAGUCUCUGCGCUGCCAGGAGUCGAGCCGAGAGGGGAAGCAGGGUCUUGGUUUCCUUCUCAGAAUGCUGCCUGGUGGCUGUGUCCUGGGCCUGGGGAAGUAAGAGGGCGUCUGUCCCUGGACUCCUCAGUCUUCCAGAGGGUACCCAGUGGGAGUUUUCCCAGGGGGAGAACUGUCAGCUGACAGUGCCUUUGUAUGUAUUCCGUGUGUGUAAAAUCAACCCAAUAAUGUUUCCUGGAAGCCUGAGGGGGGGGGGGGGGGGGCAGGCAGCCCCUUUGAAGAACUUCUCUAACUUGAAAAUGCACAAGUCACCUGCGCAGUCAUCGUGUUCAAAUGCAGACUCUGAUUCGGUGGGUCCGAGCGGUCCCCGAGGUCGUGCACUGCUUACAAGCUCCCAGGGGAUGCCGGUGCUGCGAGAGCAGAGGGCAGACCCCGCACUCUCUUGGGCUGUGCUUUUAAGCCUUUUCUGUCCCUCAAGGCUUGCCUCGAAUUCCCUUAUCAACCCAUUCAUCAAACAUUUCCUAGCUUCUGCUAUGUGCCAGGCCCUGCUAGAGCUCUGGGGAGGGAAGGUGAACUGGGACACCGUGCCUGCUCUCAAAUGACUUCCUGCUGGGUGGGAGAAACGGCUGUUUCCUGAGCUCUGCUAAUGCAGUGUGACUGGUGCCCUCAGAGAGGACUGGAAGCCCUGCCGUGGGACCCCUCCUAGCUGAGGGGUGAUGAAUGGUGCUGGGAGGUGACGCUGAAGCUGCAUUUUGAAGCAAGAGGAGGAGCCUUGCAGAUAGAUAUAGAAGUGGGCAAGUCAGCAAGCAAACCAUGGUGCAUCCAUCCAUACCAGGGAACAGAACCCAGCAAGCGACAAAAGGAGCAGACCCCCGGCACACGCCCCAGCUUUAGAUGGAUCUCAGGAAAACCACUGUCGGUGGGGCCAAGGAGAGACGCCUUCUGAAUACAGCCGGGAGGCGGCCCCCAUCAGCUCCGGAGUGUCAGCUCCCCUCCUGUGCCUUUUGGGACCAGCAUGAAUGAGAGGCGAGGCGGGACGGAUGUUGGGGAGACGCUGGAGCUCUGAGUGAGCUGCAGAGUGAAGAAAGGCUUCCGUGGUCUCCAGCGAUGGACGCUCCUGCCGGAAGACAAGGCGGCCCGUAGGGGAGGUCCUUGCCUUUCUGGAGCCACUGGUCUGGUGAUGCUGUGGGUCCCUUCGCCGAACAAUGCUUUCAGAAUGGAUGAACUGAAAUACAGGGGAUUCGAAAGGAAACUGAUUAUAUUGAAGUUCAGCUAUCAAAAUAGUAAAAUGUGUGUGAUGCUAUAGUACCUACGUGCACUUCUUACCAGCACGCUAAAUAUUUUGAAAUAUUUGCAACAACCGUAGGGAGAGAGAGGGAAACCGUCUGUGGGGACAACUGUGGGGACAACGUCAUGCGUAGUGUGAAUACAGCGCUGUGUGAUUUGUUGUCUGCAGGCCUAAUGGAGGGAAAUGCUACAUCGGGGGUAGAGUUUAACUGAAAAUAUAGACGCCCAUGCCCACAGGGUGUCGUGGGUGUACAAUAAGGAAAUAGUCUGAGUCAGAAGUUCACAAAAGGUUAGAGUUCUGAAUAAAUUGCAGUUAAAGUUAAAUGGAAAUGUAUUAAAUAAUAUCCUUGUUUGCUUUACAAGA